rnacentral:tRNA from 1 species
GGCUCCUUGGUCAAGCGGUUAAGACACCGCCCUUUCACGGCGGUAACACGGGGUCGAGGCCCGUAGGAGUCA